rnacentral:lncRNA from 1 species
AAAUAGGCAAGAACCUGAAUGCUGCUAUUUCCACAUGUUUUUAGCUUGUUUUGGAACAGCUGAGCAGUUUUUCAGAACAGUUGCUGCAGUAGGGGUAUUCAGACAUUGUUGACAAAGCAAGAAACAUUAAGCUGAUUUUGCCAGACAUAAUUGCUAUUAUCUUUUGCUAUUAUGGUCUUGAGGGUAACAAUGCUGCUCACUGUGCAGGUGGCUGUGAUGUUCUGGACUAUCUCUAUGUUGCCACGCAUUGGCUCUAGUUAUGAGCUCCAGGAUACCAUCCAUGCUUUGAAAGAUGAGAAUGUCCACCUUCACCACCGUCUGGAGAAUCUCACCCGCGCUCUCCGCAAACUGAAGCAUCUGCUCUUGGAUCACUCAAGAGGUAUCGGUCCUGAGAAACAUCACCUGCUGGAACAGGCUUUCUGCUGGCCUGAUCUCCAAGGAGCUGCCAGUCCUAUCUUCACAGUACCUGCCCUCUUCCUCCUUACUCCAAUCAUUGUCUGGUUGAGCCAUCUGCUUUUCUGACUUCUGUGAACUUGAGAAUACAGAAAUCACUAUUGUUAGCCUGGUCCCAGAUCUGUUUGUGCUUUCUUGCCAACUCCGCCAACUCCUCUGGUCAGUGUCUCACGCAUGAGUUAGUGUAGAACCCCGUAUUAUCGGCAUAUUAAACAGUGUUUAAGAAAUAUAUUACCUUCAACAGUGUUAUCCUGUGAUCAAACCAUCAAUGUUUUGUGAUUAUUGGUGUUGCAAAAAUGUUAUCUAUCGGGUUAGCAAUUAGCAUGUUUGACAUUUCAGUGGAAAUACUACUAUUAUCAGCUUUUUGCUAAGCGAUUUAGCUAAAAAAUGCAUCCCGUAUUAUUGGCAUACGGUCCCCAGUUAUUGGCCACCUUACUAUUUUGUUCAAUUACAAGAUAUAUCCAUUUAAUUUUGUUAAAAGAGACACCAACCUCGUCUCUGAAGUGUUUACUAGAUAGUUGGCUAGCCUUCCGUUUAAAAAAAUGUACUUGUCCGUCAACUUUUCAUUGUGUUGGCCAGUGCGCCUUCCUGUGGACUCCUAAAAAUGGUUCUUCACCA